AAGACUAUACUAAGCGAUCAUUUCUAUAGUAUGUUACUAGAGAAGUUUAUCUGAUCAUAGAUCAUCUGAAACCACGAGGAAGAGCCAGAGUGUCCUCUCCUGAGCGUGAAGUUGGUUUUAGGUAUUGCUUUUGCAACUGCCUUUUGCCAUUGAUGAUCAUUCUUCCUUUCUUUGGAAGAGUUAGAGGGAGAGGAUCCAGUCUGAAUGGU